rnacentral:tRNA from 1 species
ACCCACCGGGGUAGCAAAGUUCGGAAAGUGCUAAAGGUCUAAGCCCUUUCAUCAGAGGUUCAAAUCCUCUUCCCGGCU